GCCCACAGGGAUCAGUGGUAGAUCGCCUUUGUCUGGUAAAUGUGCCACUUUGGUUAAGUAAAGGAGGCGGAGGUUCGAUUCCUCCUGUGGGUA